rnacentral:rRNA from 1 species
GACGAACGCUGGCGGCGUGCCUAAUACAUGCAAGUCGAACGAACUCUGGUAUUGAUUGGUGCUUGCAUCAUGAUUUACAUUUGAGUGAGUGGCGAACUGGUGAGUAACACGUGGGAAACCUGCCCAGAAGCGGGGGAUAACACCUGGAAACAGAUGCUAAUACCGCAUAACAACUUGGACCGCAUGGUCCGAGUUUGAGAGAUGGCUUCGGCUAUCACUUUUGGAUGGUCCCGCGGCGUAUUAGCUAGAUGGUGGGGUAACGGCUCACCAUGGCAAUGAUACGUAGCCGACCUGAGAGGGUAAUCGGCCACAUUGGGACUGAGACACGGCCCAAACUCCUACGGGAGGCAGCAGUAGGGAAUCUUCCACAAUGGACGAAAGUCUGAUGGAGCAACGCCGCGUGAGUGAAGAAGGGUUUCGGCUCGUAAAACUCUGUUGUUAAAGAAGAACAUAUCUGAGAGUAACUGUUCAGGUAUUGACGGUAUUUAACCAGAAAGCCACGGCUAACUACGUGCCAGCAGCCGCGGUAAUACGUAGGUGGCAAGCGUUGUCCGGAUUUAUUGGGCGUAAAGCGAGCGCAGGCGGUUUUUUAAGUCUGAUGUGAAAGCCUUCGGCUCAACCGAAGAAGUGCAUCGGAAACUGGGAAACUUGAGUGCAGAAGAGGACAGUGGAACUCCAUGUGUAGCGGUGAAAUGCGUAGAUAUAUGGAAGAACACCAGUGGCGAAGGCGGCUGUCUGGUCUGUAACUGACGCUGAGGCUCGAAAGUAUGGGUAGCAAACAGGAUUAGAUACCCUGGUAGUCCAUACCGUAAACGAUGAAUGCUAAGUGUUGGAGGGUUUCCGCCCUUCAGUGCUGCAGCUAACGCAUUAAGCAUUCCGCCUGGGGAGUACGGCCGCAAGGCUGAAACUCAAAGGAAUUGACGGGGGCCCGCACAAGCGGUGGAGCAUGUGGUUUAAUUCGAAGCUACGCGAAGAACCUUACCAGGUCUUGACAUACUAUGCAAAUCUAAGAGAUUAGACGUUCCCUUCGGGGACAUGGAUACAGGUGGUGCAUGGUUGUCGUCAGCUCGUGUCGUGAGAUGUUGGGUUAAGUCCCGCAACGAGCGCAACCCUUAUUAUCAGUUGCCAGCAUUAAGUUGGGCACUCUGGUGAGACUGCCGGUGACAAACCGGAGGAAGGUGGGGAUGACGUCAAAUCAUCAUGCCCCUUAUGACCUGGGCUACACACGUGCUACAAUGGAUGGUACAACGAGUUGCGAACUCGCGAGAGUAAGCUAAUCUCUUAAAGCCAUUCUCAGUUCGGAUUGUAGGCUGCAACUCGCCUACAUGAAGUCGGAAUCGCUAGUAAUCGCGGAUCAGCAUGCCGCGGUGAAUACGUUCCCGGGCCUUGUACACACCGCCCGUCACACCAUGAGAGUUUGUAACACCCAAAGUCGGUGGGGUAACCUUUUAGGAACCAGCCGCCUAAGGUGGGACAGAUGAUUAGGGUG